UUUUUUAAGAGAAACAAAUGCGACGACUCGUCCUCCUCCUCCUCCUCCUCGUCAUCAUCAUCGUCAUCGUCGUCAUCUGAAGAAGAUGACAAGAGAUGUAAAAGCGGGCACGGCAAGAAGGAUGAUUCAUCGUCAUCCUCAUCCUCAUCUUCGUCGUCAUCCUCAUCGUCGUCUGAGGAAGACAGCAAGAACAACGAAGUGGAUUGUGAUGAUUCCAACGAAAAGUCGAGCCAUCACCACAAGAAGUCGAGGCACAUGAGGCGAUGCGGAAAGAACUAGUCGAAGAGAAUUUGGUGUCGAUUUUUAUCAGAUAACGCUGUUCACUGUCUACUACAAUUAAAGUUAUGCACCUCGUCAUUCGUUCAGUUU